UACGGAGGGGGCAAGCGUUGUUCGGAAUUACUGGGCGUAAAGGGCUCGUAGGCGGCCAACUAAGUCCGACGUGAAAUCCCCAGGCUCAACCUGGGGACUGCGUCGGAUACUGGAUGGCUUGAAUUCGGGAGAGGGAUGCAGAAUUCCAGGUGUAGCGGUGAAAUGCGUAGAUAUCUGGAGGAAUACCGGUGGCGAAGGCGGCAUCCUGGACCGACAUUGACGCUGAUGAGCGAAAGCUAGGGGAGCAAACGGG
rnacentral:rRNA from 1 species